AUAAGCGAAUGAAAUCAAUUAAAUAACCACCUUCCUUCAGAAUGUAGUCCUUGAACCACUUUCCUAGACACCAGUCAAAUUGACUAACCCUAACCCAAUCUUAUUCUUAGGAUCCCUUGUCCUAUUGAGCUCGAAAGUCCUUAGGGGCCAAUGUCUAAUUGAUUUUAAGUUAAGGUUUAGGUCAAUGCAAUAUGCAGGAUGGUGGUUUGUGGGCCAAGAAAAGAUGAUGAAAUCUCCACCUUAUCUUAUUUAGGAUUUGUGCCCUUAACAUGUUUUAUAGAAUUAUGCAAUGCAAAAAGAAAAGGUGACC
rnacentral:lncRNA from 1 species